GAAGGUACGCUAGGUACGGUCGGACAUCGUGCUAAUAGUGCAAUGGCAUAAGCGUGCUUAACUGCGAGACUGACAAGUCGAGCAGAUGCGAAAGCAGGACAUAGUGAUCCGGUGGUUCUGUAUGGAAGGGCCAUCGCUCAACGGAUAAAAGGUACUCUGGGGAUAACAGGCUGAUACCGCCCAAGAGUUCAUAUCGACGGCGGUGUUUGGCACCUCGAUGUCGGCUCAUCUCAUCCUGGGGCUGUAGCCGGUCCCAAGGGUAUGGCUGUUCGCCAUUUAAAGAGGUACGUGAGCUGGGUUUAAAACGUCGUGAGACAGUUUGGUCCCUAUCUUCCGUGGGCGCUGCAGAUUUGAGGAAGCCUGCUCCUAGUACGAGAGGACCGGAGUGGACGAACCUCUGGUGUAUCGGUUGUCACGCCAGUGGCAUUGCCGAGUAGCUAAGUUCGGAAGAGAUAACCGCUGAAAGCAUCUAAGCGGGAAACUCGUUUCAAGAUUAGAUCUGCCGGGGCCUUGAGCCCCCUAAAGAGUCGUUCAAGACCAGGACGUUGAUAGGUCAGGUGUGGAAGCGCAGUAAUGCGUUAAGCUAACUGAUACUAAUUGCUCGUGCGGCUUGACCCU
rnacentral:rRNA from 1 species